CCAAAAUUGUUGCGGCCCUAAAGGAUGACUGUACAUCCAGUUUUCUCAAGAAAACAAAUUAUGCUGACUCGCUCAAGCAUAAAAAUGAAAUGUUCGCCUCCCUACAGAGUCUCCUAACAGGCUCCCAGCCCAGCCAAAAACUCACUCAAGAAAAUGCCCCCCAACAGAAAAACCCUGAAAAGGGCUUUGCCUACGAUGCUCAUAAAAGAAAGGAGGCCUACUUUAAAAAGCUAGCUGAUGAAGGGCUCAAAAGACUAACAAAUUCUUUGGAUACCAACAUUGGAAAUCUGGAAAAACUCUUAGGAAUCAGGAUCUGGGGUCAAUCGGUUUAUGCUGAGCUGGCCAAACUCCUGAAUCAUUUCCUUAUUAGAAAAUUUCUAGUCCAAAACGCCACCUCCACAGAUUGGACAGUGGAGGAAGCAAGGGAAAAGUCCCAAUUUAUUAAGAGUAUACUAUAUGGGCACUCAAUUAAUAGGGAGCACAUCCAAAGCCUGGGAUCUGUGUACUACAAAUUACUUAAUGGUCCCCUCAUAAAAGAAAGAGGACUGUUCAAACUCCCUAUAAACAUCCUUUUGGCACAGUCUUUGGAUGCGGCAGAGGUCCUACCUCACCAGAAAAUUGCCAUGUGUUUUGAUGUUACCAACCUAAAAAGUCCCAAGGACUGGAUCGAUGUUCAGUUCAAUCAAUUUUAUAAUUUUCUCCCAAACACCCAUCUGGCGGGUGUACAAGAGCAAGCUUGGAGGUAUAUCAGAGAGUUGGUCCUAAGUGUCACCGUCUACAAUGUCAUCUGGGAAAAAUCCCUGUCCAUCUGCUCCCCUUCUGACUUUCAAGACAUCAAAGACUUUGAGGCACGCUCAGUAGACCUGGACACUGUAUGCCUGACGUUCGAGGCCUCUUGCCCACUCAUACUGAUAUCAAAAAAUCAAUUGAGGGUAUUUAAAGACAUCUAUACAAUGUUAAAUUAUCACUUGUACAUUUGAACCGAUUCAGCCAGUGUUGGAUGUACCCUACAGUGAAAAGUAUGAGAGUCGCCCACCUAACCAAUCUCCUAACCCUUCUGUGUCUGCUGUGCCACACGCAUCUCUACGUAUGUCAGCCAACCACUCUGAGGCAGCCAUCAGACAUGACCCCAGCCCAGGACGCUCCAACAGAGACUCCCCCACCCCUCUCAACUAACACUAACAGAGGAUUUGAGUACUUUCGCGUGUGUGGGGUGGCUGCCACGGGGGAGACCUUCAGGUUUGAUUUAGACAAAACAUGCCCCAGUACACAAGAUAAGAAGCAUGUGGAGGGCAUCUUGCUCGUGUAUAAGAUCAACAUCGUGCCCUACAUCUUCAAAAUCAGGAGAUAUAGAAAAAUAAUUACUCAACUGACCAUCUGGCGAGGCCUAACCACUAGUUCAGUCACUGGUAAAUUUGAAAUGGCCACUCAGGCCCACGAGUGGGAAGUGGGCGACUUUGACAGCAUCUAUCAGUGCUACAAUAGCGCCACCAUGGUGGUAAACAACGUCAGACAGGUGUAUGUGGACAGAGAUGGGGUCAAUAAAACUGUGAACAUACGCCCUGUUGAUGGUCUAACAGGGAAUAUCCAAAGAUACUUUAGUCAGCCCACCCUUUAUUCAGAACCUGGUUGGAUGCCUGGCUUUUAUCGUGUUCGAACCACCGUUAACUGUGAAAUUGUAGACAUGGUGGCACGCUCCAUGGAUCCCUAUAACUACAUCGCUACCGCCCUGGGAGACAGCCUGGAGCUCUCCCCGUUUCAAACCUUUGACAACACCAGCCAGUCUACUGCGCCUAAGAGAGCUGAUAUGAGGGUCAGGGAGGUCAAGAAUUACAAGUUUGUAGAUUAUAAUAACAGGGGAACUGCCCCCGCUGGACAAAGCAGGACCUUUCUAGAGACUCCCUCUGCCACUUACUCCUGGAAAACAGCCACCAGACAAACUGCCACGUGCGACCUGGUGCACUGGAAAACAUUCCCUCGCGCCAUCCAAACUGCUCAUGAACAUAGCUACCAUUUUGUGGCCAAUGAAGUCACCGCCACCUUCAAUACACCCCUGACUGAGGUAGAAAAUUUCACCAGCACGUAUAGCUGCGUCAGUGACCAGAUCAAUAAGACCAUCUCUGAAUAUAUCCAAAAGUUGAACAACUCCUACGUGGCCAGUGGGAAAACACAGUAUUUCAAGACUGAUGGUAACCUGUACCUCAUCUGGCAACCACUCGAACAUCCAGAGAUUGAAGACAUAGACGAGGACAGCGACCCAGAACCAACCCCCGCCCCACCAAAGUCCACAAGGAGAAAAAGAGAGGCAGCUGACAAUGGAAACUCAACAUCUGAGGUCUCAAAGGGCUCAGAAAAUCCGCUCAUUACGGCCCAAAUUCAAUUUGCCUAUGACAAGCUGACCACCAGCGUCAACAACGUGCUUGAGGAGUUGUCCAGGGCGUGGUGUAGAGAACAGGUCAGAGACACCCUCAUGUGGUAUGAGCUUAGCAAGGUCAACCCUACGAGUGUGAUGUCUGCCAUUUAUGGAAAGCCUGUCGCUGCCAGGUACGUGGGCGACGCCAUAUCUGUGACAGACUGUAUCUAUGUGGACCAAAGUUCAGUCAACAUCCACCAGAGCUUGCGGCUGCAGCAUGAUAAAACCACCUGCUACUCGAGACCUAGAGUCACCUUCAAAUUUAUAAACAGUACAGACCCGCUAACUGGCCAGUUGGGUCCUAGAAAAGAAAUUAUCCUCUCCAACACAAACAUAGAAACAUGCAAGGAUGAGAGUGAACACUACUUCAUUGUGGGGGAAUACAUUUACUAUUAUAAAAAUUACAUUUUUGAAGAAAAGCUAAACCUCUCAAGCAUCGCUACCCUAGACACAUUUAUAGCCCUCAAUAUCUCAUUUAUUGAAAAUAUCGACUUCAAAACAGUAGAACUGUACUCCUCUACUGAAAGGAAACUCGCAUCGAGCGUCUUUGAUAUAGAAUCCAUGUUUAGGGAAUAUAACUAUUACACCUACAGCCUCGCGGGCAUUAAGAAGGACCUAGACAACACCAUCGACUACAAUAGAGACAGACUGGUUCAGGACCUGUCAGACAUGAUGGCUGAUCUGGGAGACAUUGGAAGAUCUGUGGUGAAUGUGGUCAGCUCGGUAGUCACAUUUUUCAGUAGUAUUGUGACAGGGUUCAUUAAAUUCUUUACCAACCCUCUAGGGGGAAUAUUCAUUCUCCUAAUUAUUGGUGGAAUAAUCUUCUUGGUGGUAGUCCUAAAUAGAAGAAACUCACAGUUUCACGAUGCACCCAUCAAAAUGCUGUACCCUUCUGUUGAAAACUACGCUGCCAGACAGGCGCCACCUCCCUAUAGCGCAUCACCUCCAGCUAUAGACAAAGAGGAAAUUAAGCGCAUACUUUUGGGCAUGCAUCAGGUACACCAGGAAGAAAAGGAAGCACAGAAACAACUAACCAACUCUGGCCCUACUUUGUGGCAGAAAGCCACAGGAUUCCUUAGAAAUCGCCGGAAGGGAUACAGCCAACUUCCUCUGGAAGAUGAAUCAACUUCCCUCUAGUGGCCACCCCAUGACUCAGACACUUUAAAAACUAAUACUUUGAAUAAUAAACUGGUUUCUGUCCACCUUA
rnacentral:tmRNA from 1 species